GAUUUAAUCGUGAAACCGCGAAUGGCUCAUUAUAACAGCUAUAAUUUACUUGAUCUUGACUCAAUCCUACUUGGAUAACUGUGGUAAUUCUAGAGCUAAUACAUGCAUUAAUGCUCUGACCUCACGGGAAGAGUGCAUUUAUUAGAACAAAACCAAGCGGCUUCGGCUGUUUCUGGUUGACUCAUAGUAACUGAGCUGAUCGCACGGUCUUGUACCGGCGACGUGUCUUUCAAGUAUCUGCCGUAUCAACUUUCGAUGGUAGUGUAUCUGACUACCAUGGUGAUCACGCGUAACGGAGAAUAAGGGUUCGGCUCCGGAGAGUUCGCCUGAGAAAUCGCGAACACAUCUAAGGAAGGCAGCAGGCGCGAAAAUUACCCACUCUCAGCACGAGGAGGUAGUGACGAAAAAUAACGAGACCGUUCUCUUCUGAGGCCGGUCAUCGGAAUGGGCACAAUUUAAACCCUUUAACGAGUAUCUAUGAGAGGGCAAGACUGGUGCCAGCAGCCGCGGUAAUUCCAGCUCUCAAAGUGCAUAGAAUUAUUGCUGCGGUUAAAAAGCUCGUAGUUGGAUCUGUGCCAUAGGACGUGGUCCACCUUCGGGUGCGUACUACGCUCCUAGGCUUUUUGCUGGUUUUCCCGUCGUAGCCUUCACUGGUUGCGGCGGGUGGCUGGCGAGUUUACUUUGAGAAAAUCAGAGUGCUCAAUACAGGCGUAUCGCUUGAAUGAUUGUGCAUGGAAUAAUAGAAAAGGAUUUCGGUCCUCUUUUAUUGGUUUUGUGGACUGAGAUAAUGGUUAACAGGGACAAACGGGGGCCUUCGUAUCGCUGCGUGAGAGGUGAAAU
rnacentral:rRNA from 1 species